UUUUUAUAAACUUAGGAAUAGAUACCCUAUUAUUUAAAAUGUAAAAUUUAAUAUAAGAUUAUUAAUAGUUAUAUUCUUUAAAAUUAAAGAAUUCGGCGGUAUUUUAGUCCAUUCAGAGGAACCUGUCCUGUAAUUGAUUCUCCACGUUAAUUUAUACUUAAUAUAUAAGUUUGUAUAUCGUCGUAGUUUGAGGAUUUUAAAAGAAUUAAAUCUUCCUAAUUUUUUUUUCAAGAAAGGAAUUCAGAUCAAGGUGCAGCUAAUUAUUAAGGAGAGAUGGGUUACAAUAAUUUUAUUUAAACGGAUAGAACAAUUAAAAUGUUUUUG
rnacentral:rRNA from 1 species